rnacentral:lncRNA from 1 species
AAGAGUCUACUGUAGAUUUGAUCUAAUAUGAGAUAGAACACUGCUAGAUGAUUAAGAACAGCCUCUCUAUGUUGUCCUUGUCUUCUUCUCUUUCUUUCUCUUCCUUUUCUGCCUUGUUUUCCUCCUUUUCUUUGGAAUCUCAUGGUUGUUCUCUUCUCCCACGUUGCUGCCUCCAAAAUGCAACCUCCACACUCCCCCUAAUGUUAAUUAGGGUUAGGUUAAGAGGGAGUGAGCUGUGGGCUGCCCAAGCCCGCUAUGGGCUGAAUUUGUGGGCUGCCAGCCUAACAAC